GAUAAACGCUGGCGGCGUGCCUAAUGCAUGCAAGUCGAACGGAGUGGCAAACGGGUGAGUAACACGUGGGAAUCUGCCCGAGAGUGGGGAACAACUCCUCGAAAGAGGAGCUAAUACCGCAUCUCUUGGAGGAGCCUGCGGCUGAUUAGCUAGUUGGUGGGGUAAAAGCCUACCAAGGCGAUGAUCAGUAGCUGGUCUGAAGGAUGGACAGCCACACUGGGACUGGGAUAUGGCCCAGACUCCUACGGGAGGCAGCAGCAAGGAAUUUUCGUCAAUGGGGGCAACCCUGAACGAGCAACGCCGCGUGGGUGACGAAGUCUUUCGGGAUGUAAAACCCUUUUCGUGGGAAGACGGUACCACAGGAAUAAGCAUCGGCUAACUACGUGCCAGCAGCCGCGGUAAUACGUAGGAUGCAAGCGUUGUCCGGAAUUAUUGGGCGUAAAGGGUGCGCAGGCGGUUUUUCAAGUCAGAUGUGAAAUAUCCCGGCUUAACUGGGAGGGGCCAUUUGAAACUGAAAGACCAGAGUGCAGGAGAGGAUAGCGGAAUUCCCGGUGUAGUGGUGAAAUGCGUAGAUAUCGGGAGGAACACCAGUGGCGAAGGCGGCUAUCUGGCCUGCAACUGACGCUGAGGCACGAAGGCUAGGGGAGCGAACAGGAUUAGAUACCCUGGUAGUCCUAGCAGUAAACAUGAACACUAGGUGUUGGGCAGUGCCGCAACUAACGUAAUAAGUGUUCCGCCUGGGGAGUACGGUCGCAAGAUUAAAACUCAGAGGAAUUGACGGGGGCCCGCACAAGCAGCGGAGCGUGUGGUUUAAUUCGACGCAACGCGAAGAACCUUACCAGGGCUUGACAUGCAGAUGCUGCAUGGCUGUCGUCAGCUCGUGUCGUGAGAUGUUGGGUUAAGUCCCGCAACGAGCGCAACCCCUGUUCCUAGUUGAUCUAGGGAGACUGCCGGUAGAAAACCGGAGGAAGGUGGGGAUGACGUCAAGUCAGCAUGGCUCUUACGUCCUGGGCUACACACACGCUACAAUGGGCGGUACAAAGGGACGCCAACCGCGAGGUGGAGCAAAUCCCAAAAAGCCGUUCUCAGUUCGGAUAGCAGGCUGCAACUCGCCUGCUUGAAGUCGGAGUUGCUAGUAACCGUGGGUCAGCACACUACGGUGAAUAUGUUCCCGGGCCUUGCACUCACCGCCCGUCA
rnacentral:rRNA from 1 species